rnacentral:pre_miRNA from 1 species
UGAUGAUGAUGAUGAUGAUGAUGAUGGUGGUGGUGAUGGUGAUGGUGGUGAUAAUGACGGCGAUGGUGAACAACAACAACAACAACAACAACAUCAUCAUCAUCAUCAUCAUCAUCAUCACCAUCA